GGAUGGAGCGGGGCUGCACGGUUGCUCUCGCGACGGCGCUGCUGGUGUUGCUACCUAUGCUGCUGGUGCUGGUGUUGCCGCCGGACUUGGACACCUGUGAGCAGGAGAGCCGCCAGGGGUGAGGAGGAAUGCGGUACAGGUUGUUCAAGGGCAACCACAGCGUCGUCGUCUGCCUCAACGCCGCCGCCGCCGCCGCCGGGCAAAAUGCGAUGGUGGACCAAGAGCUGAGCGCCAGGUGCCAAGCCAUCGCCCCCACUACGUGAAAAAUGAUUUGCAAGAGCUAGAGGCUCUCAUUGCAAGUGCGGCUGGUGAUGCAACCGCCUCUACAGUGGUGUUUCCAUCAGCAUCAGACUUUGUGAUCACCAGCCGUCCUUACAAAUCCCACAAUAAGAGUGGCUGGUAACACGAGCAGCCCUUAUAAAUGGUUUAAUUUUUAAGACUGGCUGUUGACCCAGCUCUAAUUUCAAAGGGCGGCUGAAUCACCAGCCGCCCUUACAAAUCGCGGCUAUAUAUAUGGUUGUAGCAUUCUUUCUCCUCGGGUCACUCACUCCAACCCGAGAAGAUAAGGUUGUGAGGUCUUGGGCACCUCCUAAAAAUUGCUCUAGUAAAGAGGGAGGUUUUGGUCUCAAAAACUACCAUAAUGGGGAGCUUGGAAAAGGUAAGAAAAUGCUAUUCCAACACUUGAAUUAAAGUUUUAGUGGUUGGUUAGUGAGUAAUUUGAGUUUUGCUUUUCUCUCUCUUCCAUGGUGCUUGAGCUUUGUAUGGAGCAAAUUACACCCUUGUUCUUAAGCUUUAGCUUAGUUGGAAUUAGUUAGAGAUAUGAGUUUGCCCUCUCUAUUGGUCGAUCUUGCUUGAUUUUAGUGGUGAUAUAUUUCACUCUAUCAUGUAUAUGUUCAUCUAGUUCUAGAUCUAGAAUUUGCUUUUUAAUUUUUUUUAUUUAUGGUUCAUGAAAUUAGAAUGAUUUGGACAUGAAAGGUUGUUGGUAAAAUAAAAAUUGUUGCUAAUUGUUGACAAUGGAAGUAUAUAUAAGUUUAUUUAUAUAAUUAUAUUCUAAUAAUUGUUGCUAAUUGUUGCU
rnacentral:lncRNA from 1 species